CAACGUUCUCAGGGCGGGGUGCGAUUCCCCACCGGCGGUAAUGACGCGCAAUGCGUUUAGCCCGCGAGCGCUCACCCGAUUUUCCAGGUGAGGUCAGCAGACCUGGUGUGAUCCCAGGGCCGACGGUCAUAGUCCGGAUGAAGAGAGAACGGGA
rnacentral:ncRNA from 1 species